rnacentral:rRNA from 1 species
GACGUAGGGCGCGAGCGUUGUCCGGAUUUAUUGGGCGUAAAGAGCUCGUAGGCGGCUUGUCGCGUCGACUGUGAAAACCCGUGGCUCAACCAUGUGGUCUGCAGUCGAUACGGGCAGGCUAGAAUUCGGUAGGGGAGACUGGAAUUCCUGGUGUAGCGGUGAAAUGCGCAGAUAUCAGGAGGAACACCGGUGGCGAAGGCGGGUCGCUGGGCCGAUAUUGACGCUGAGGAGCGAAAGCGUGGGGAGCGAACAGG